CGCCCUUAGAGUUUGAUCCUGGCUCAGGACGAACGCUGGCGGCGUGCUUAACACAUGCAAGUCGAACGGGGUGUUUAUUUCGGUAAACAUCAAGUGGCGAACGGGUGAGUAACGCGUAAGCAAUCUACCUUCAAGAUGGGGACAACACUUCGAAAGGGGUGCUAAUACCGAAUGAAUGUAAGAGUAUCGCAUGAGACACUUACUAAAGGAGGCCUCUGAAAAUGCUUCCGCUUGAAGAUGAGCUUGCGUCUGAUUAGCUAGUUGGUGAGGGUAAAGGCCCACCAAGGCGACGAUCAGUAGCCGGUCUGAGAGGAUGAACGGCCACAUUGGGACUGAGACACGGCCCAGACUCCUACGGGAGGCAGCAGUGGGGAAUCUUCCGCAAUGGGCGAAAGCCUGACGGAGCAACGCCGCGUGAACGAUGAAGGUCUUAGGAUCGUAAAGUUCUGUUGUUAGGGACGAAGGGCAAGGGUUAUAAUACAGCCUUUGUUUGACGGUACCUAACGAGGAAGCCACGGCUAACUACGUGCCAGCAGCCGCGGUAAUACGUAGGCGGCAAGCGUUGUCCGGAAUUAUUGGGCGUAAAGGGAGCGCAGGCGGGAAACUAAGCGGAUCUUAAAAGUGCGGGGCUCAACCCCGUGAUGGGGUCCGAACUGGUUUUCUUGAGUGCAGGAGAGGAAAGCGGAAUUCCCAGUGUAGCGGUGAAAUGCGUAGAUAUUGGGAAGAACACCAGUGGCGAAGGCGGCUUUCUGGACUGUAACUGACGCUGAGGCUCGAAAGCUAGGGUAGCGAACGGGAUUAGAUACCCCGGUAGUCCUAGCCGUAAACGAUGGAUACUAGGUGUGGGAGGUAUCGACCCCUUCCGUGCCGGAGUUAACGCAAUAAGUAUCCCGCCUGGGGAGUACGGCCGCAAGGUUGAA
rnacentral:rRNA from 1 species